AACGAACGCUGGCGGCAUGCCUAACACAUGCAAGUCGAACGAGUACCUUCGGGUGCUAGUGGCGCACGGGUGAGUAACGCGUGGGAACCUGCCUUUCGGUACGGGAUAACGUCGGGAAACUGACGCUAAUACCGUAUAUGUCUUUGGAUGAAAGAUUUAUCGCCGGAAGAGGGGCCCGCGUCUGAUUAGGUAGUUGGUGAGGUAACGGCUCACCAAGCCUUCGAUCAGUAGCUGGUCUGAGAGGAUGAUCAGCCACACUGGGACUGAGACACGGCCCAGACUCCUACGGGAGGCAGCAGUGGGGAAUAUUGGACAAUGGGCGCAAGCCUGAUCCAGCAAUGCCGCGUGAGUGAUGAAGGCCUUCGGGUUGUAAAGCUCUUUUGCCUGCGACGAUGAUGACGGUAGCAGGAGAAUAAGCCCCGGCUAACUUCGUGCCAGCAGCCGCCGUAA
rnacentral:rRNA from 1 species